rnacentral:misc_RNA from 1 species
CCGAAUUGUCAACACGAGUUGUUGCUGGUCCUCAAAUGGGGGCACGUGCACGCUCUGUUUGCACAUCCACUCACACCUGUGCACCCUCUGUAGUUCUGCAGCCUGGGGGGGCUCUGCUCCCCUGCUGUGGUCCUACGUAUUUACACGCACACUGUAAUAAAGUCCCAGGGAAUGUAUACCGCGUUUAACGCAAUACAAUA